AUUGAACGCUGGCGGCAUGCUUUACACAUGCAAGUCGAACGGCAGCGCGGGCUUCGGCCUGGCGGCGAGUGGCGAACGGGUGAGUAAUGCAUCGGAACGUGCCCAGUAGUGGGGGAUAGCCCGGCGAAAGCCGGAUUAAUACCGCAUACGACCUGAGGGUGAAAGCGGGGGACCGAAAGGCCUCGCGCUAUUGGAGCGGCCGAUGUCGGAUUAGCUAGUUGGUGGGGUAAAGGCUUACCAGGGCGACGAUCCGUAGCUGGUCUGAGAGGACGACCAGCCACACGGGGACUGAGACCCGGCCCAGACUCCUACGGGAGGAAGCAGUGGGGAAUUUUGGACAAUGGGGGAAACCCUGAUCCAGCCAUGCGGCGUGCGGGAAGAAGGCCUUCGGGUUGUAAACCGCUUUUGUUCGGGAAGAAAUCCUCUGGGCUAAUACCCCGGGGGGAUGACGGUACCGGAAGAAUAAGCACCGGCUAACUACGU
rnacentral:rRNA from 1 species